AUUGAACGCUGGCGGCAUGCUUUACACAUGCAAGUCGAACGGUAACACGUCGGCAGCUGCGGACGCGAGUGGCGAACGGGUGUGUAACACCUGAGCAUACCCCCGCUUGGGGGGGAACAAGUCGCGAAAGUUGCUAAUACACCACACAAGCUACGUAUAUGAGCGGGGGGGCUUCGGACCUCUCGCGCGCUCGGCGGCCGAUGUCAGAUUAGGUAGUUGGUGGGGUAAAAGCUUACCAAGCCGACGAUCUGUAGCUGGUCUGAGAGGAGGAGCAGCCACACUGGGACUGAGACACGGCCCAGACUCCUACGGGAGGCAGCAGUGGGGAAUUUUGGACAAUGGGCGCAAGCCUGAUCCAGCCAUGCCGCGUGCAGGACGAAGGCCUUCGGGUUGUAAACUGCUUUUGUACGGAACGAAAAGCCUCUGGCUAAUAACGAGGGGUCAUGACGGUACCGUAAGAAUAAGCACCGGCUAACUACGUG
rnacentral:rRNA from 1 species